rnacentral:misc_RNA from 1 species
UAAUUUUUAUUUGAUCCUUGAAAAAAUGUUCUUGGGAAUCCAUCUGAAAAGAAUGCGUUAGCAUGGAAAUACAACAGUAAGAAAUUGAUAACAAUGUGGAAGUAUAAAACAAGAGAGGAGGGGGGGAUUGGGGGGAGGUGGGGUUGUGGGGAAAUAAAAGAGAUUAGUUAAACUUUAUGCUGAAUUCCUAUAAAUUCUGGUUGGCAUUAGCUAUAACGUUGAAUAAAACAACAGAGGGUUUAUGAAGUCCAAAUUAACUAUGUGAACAGAGAAGAGUUGGAAGAACUACUAAGAAGAACAGAGCAUAUCAAUGCAAAUUUAGGGGUAGAAAUGCAAAGACUAUAAUUCUAAUAUGCUAUAGAUUGACACAUAGUGUGUUGCUUAAUCAUUCUAGUAAAACAGAGAAAGGAUUAUGAGGAAUUCUGAAAAUAAGAGUCUUGGUGAUUUACUAGGGCCAGAAACUAGAAUUCUCGAAUAAUAUUUGCUACACCAAAAAAAAAAAAA